ensembl:lncRNA
CUUGAGGAAAAAGUGAGUCUUUGGGUGAGUUAACAGCAGCUAAAUGAUCAAACCUGCAGGUUUUUUUUUUUUCUUUCCUGAUCUGAUAAACCUUGCAGAGAUCAAAGAAGUACUUUAGAAAAUCACUUUAAAAGGCAUCUUAUGCUGUGGGAUAACUUACAGUUAACCACUGAGCAGGGUUUGAGGAGCAUGGAGAGAUUCUCUCUCACACAGAAGAGAGCAGGAGCCAUGGGUACCCAUGAAGAUCAGGUCACAGUCCCCUUGGGACAGAGCUGCCAGACACCAGACUAGCCAAAGGAAAGCAGGAGCCAGCCACUCUGUAGAGCAAGCAGAGGAAUUCCAGCAUCCAGGAACGGAUGAGGGCUUUCUGUACCAUGCAUUGUACCUUCCAGCAACAGGAGCAAUUGUGGCAUUUCCAAAACGAUCUUUAUUUGCCUAUUGCUUGAUUGGGAUGCACACCUUCACUCAAGAAGAGAGAUUUUCUGCUUCUCACCUCUGGUUUCUGAUAGCAUCUUAAUACAUUUUUUUUAUUUUUAAUCCCAAGAAGUAUAUUUGCACUAGCAGGACAUGCUCAUCCAUCAUCAGAUAAUUUAUAUAAAAGCUGUGAGGAGGAGAAGGACAGUAACAUGUGGAAUAAAUCACUGCCAAGUAGAAAACCUGUUGUUUAAACAUAUCUCUAUGCGUA